UCUUGGCUCUGGGAGGCCCAGGUGGCUCUGCAACAGCCUCUGCCACCCUGUGACCUGUGGGUAUUGGGACAUCCCUAGCUGACGCCAGGACACCCAGGAAGCCGAGGAAUGGACUCCGUGGCUUUUGAGGAUGUGGCUGUGAACUUUACCCAGGAAGAAUGGGCUUUGCUAGAUUCUUCUCAGAAGAAUCUCUACAGAGAAGUGAUGCAGGAAACCUGCAGGAACCUGGCUUCUGUAGAAAUCAUAUGGUACAGAGACUGUGUGAAAGCAAAGAAGGUAGUCAGUAUGGACAAGUUGUCAGCCAAAUUCUAAAUCUUGAUCUGAACGAGGACAUUUCUACUGGAUUAAAACAAUGUGAAUGCAGUAUUUGUGGAAAAGUCUUUGUACGUCAUUCCCUCCUUAAUAGGCACAUCCUAGCUCACUCAGGAUACAAACCAUAUGGAGAGAAGCAAUAUAAAUGUGAACAGCGUGGGAAAUUCUUCAUUUCUGUUCCAGGUGUUAGAAGACACAUGAUAAUGCACAGUGGAAAUCCAGCUUAUAAAUGUACAAUAUGUGGGAAAGCUUUUUAUUUUCUCAAUUCAGUUGAAAGACAUCAGAGAACUGACACAGGAGAAAAACCCUAUAAAUGUAAACAAUGUAGUAAAGCAUUCACUGUUUCCGGUUCUUGUCUAACACAUGAACAAACUCACACUGGAGAGAAACCCUACGAAUGUAAGGAAUGUGGGAAAACAUUCAGAUUUUCUUGUUCUUUUAAGACACAUGAAAGGACUCACACUGGAGAAAGACCCCAUAAAUGUACCAAAUGUGCUAAAGCCUUCAGCUGUUCCACUUCCCUUCAUUACCAUGGAAGCAUUCAUACUGGAGAGAGACCCUAUGAAUGUAAACAACGUGGCAAAGCCUUUAGUCGUUUGAGUUCCCUUUGUAACCAUACAAGUACUCAUACUGGAGAGAAACCCCAUGAAUGUAAACAAUGUGACCAAGCCUUCAGUUGCCUCAGUUCCCUUCACCUCCACGAAAGAAUUCAUACUGGAGAAAAACCCUAUGAAUGUAAGACAUGCGGUAAAGCCUACACUCAUUCCAGUCACCUUACUCGCCAUGAAAGAAGUCAUGAUAUAGAGGCUAGGUGUAGUGACUCAGCCUGUGGUCCUAGCACUUUGGGAGGCCACGGUGUGUGUAUUGCUUGA